GUUGUAUCCAAUUAAAUGACAACAAAUGCAGGGAGAAUAAAAGAGGUCAUGCAAAUAUAUCAAGUGAAGAGAAAAGCCGGGUUGGAUGAUUACUAUACAGACCAGUGGGGAUCCCGAGUACUUUAGAGCUGCAGCCAAAUCCUUCGAAAAUUAGAUCUCUUAUACGCCUAUGAUCAAUUAUUAAAAGUGUUCUCUAUACCUGCAAAUGCAAACGUUCAGAAGUCUUUCAUUGAGAUGAACAAAACUUACUAAGGAAAAGCUCCUUACAGUCUCGAAACCAAGGAAGACCCCAUUUUCUGGUUAAAGUCGAGAAGAGAAUUUGAUGACUUCGUCUGCAGAUGUAUACAUAUGAGUUUUUUUAAGGAAAAGAGCGCACAUCAGUCACUUUGGUCGCAGUAGCUU
rnacentral:lncRNA from 1 species